GAUGAACGCUAGCGGCAGGCCUAACACAUGCAAGUCGAGGGGUAGAAGGAGCUUGCUCCUUUGAGACCGGCGCACGGGUGCGUAACGCGUAUGCAAUCUACCUUUUACAGAGGGAUAGCCCAGAGAAAUUUGGAUUAAUACCUCAUAGUAUAUAUCAUUCGCAUGUUUGGUAUAUUAAAGUUCCAACGGUAAAAGAUGAGCAUGCGUCCCAUUAGUUAGUUGGUAAGGUAACGGCUUACCAAGACGAUGAUGGGUAGGGGUCCUGAGAGGGCGAUCCCCCACACUGGUACUGAGACACGGACCAGACUCCUACGGGAGGCAGCAGUGAGGAAUAUUGGUCAAUGGACGCAAGUCUGAACCAGCCAUGCCGCGUGCAGGAAGACGGUCCUAUGGAUUGUAAACUGCUUUUGUACGGGAAGAAACACUCCUACGUGUAGGAGCCUGACGGUACCGUAAGAAUAAGGAUCGGCUAACCCCGUGCCAGCAGCCGCCCUGUAAC
rnacentral:rRNA from 1 species